UACGUAGGGCGCGAGCGUUGUCCGGAAUUAUUGGGCGUAAAGAGCUCGUAGGCGGCUUGUCACGUCGGGUGUGAAAGACCGGGGCUUAACUCCGGUUCUGCAUUCGAUACGGGCUAGCUAGAGUGUGGUAGGGGAGAUCGGAAUUCCUGGUGUAGCGGUGAAAUGCGCAGAUAUCAGGAGGAACACCGGUGGCGAAGGCGGUUCUCUGGGCCUGUACUGACGCUGAGGAGCGAAAGCGUGGGGAGCGAACAGG
rnacentral:rRNA from 1 species